rnacentral:rRNA from 1 species
UACGUAGGGUGCGAGCGUUAAUCGGAAUUACUGGGCGUAAAGUGUGCGCAGGCGGCGCCGCAAGUCGAGUGUGAAAUCCCCGGGCUCAACCUGGGAAUUGCAUUUGUGACUGCACGGCUAGAGUGUGUCAGAGGGGGGUAGAAUUCCACGUGUAGCAGUGAAAUGCGUAGAGAUGUGGAGGAAUACCGAUGGCGAAGGCAGCCCCCUGGGAUAACACUGACGCUCAUGCACGAAAGCGUGGGGAGCAAACAGG